rnacentral:rRNA from 1 species
GACGAACGCUGGCGGCGGGCUUAACACAUGCAAGUCGAACGGAAACGCACUGCGAUCGUGGGGUGCUGGAUUGGGGAAGGCGGGAGUGAGACGAGAAUAACCUGCCCUAGACUUUGGGAUAACUUCAGGAAGCUGGGCCUACUACAGGAUAGGAGAUGCUGCUGCAUGGUAAGGGGUGGAAAGUCUCGGCGGUUGGGGAUGGACUCGCGGCUUAUCAGCUUGUUGGUGGGGUAGUGGAAUACCAAGGCUUAGACGGGUAGCCCGCCGGGGAGGGUGACCGGCCACCUUGCGACUGCGAUACGGACCAGUCUGCUACGGGAGACAGCAGUGGGGAAUAUUACCCAAUGGGCGGACGCCUGUUGCAGCAGCGCCGCGUUUGUAAAGACCUCCUUCGGGUUGUGAAACGCAUUCGCCUAAUACGAAGCGUGUCUGACGGUACUGGGAAAAGAAGCACCGGCUAACUACGUG